rnacentral:lncRNA from 1 species
GUUGGGAAUAAACCCCUUACCAAAAUAAUAUUCACGGUAAUAAAGCGGAAUAAUAAUGUAGCACCGAGAUACGGUAAUUAACAAUAAUAAAAGAGUAAUAAUGACACCAAGAUUUUUACGUGGAAAACCCUUCUGAAUAAGGGAAAAAACCACGACCCCGAGAGGAGCAACUGAUAUCACUAUAGUAAGGAAUUUUACACUUUGUAGGUCGGAGAUAAAUACCCCAAAGACCACUACAACACUCAAAAGAAAUAACCCUCUUUUGAUAUUUCCACCUCACUACAAUAUCGCUCACUCUCUAUUUUUCUCACAGACUAUUUUCUUAUACCUUGUCUGUGAAACCUCACUCUUUCUUUAUCUCUUUGUUGGUGUGUGGAAAUGAGAGUUGAAGCUCUCCUUUUAUAGCCAAAGUUUCACUCUCUAAAGCCUACCAUAUUUGACAAUUUACACACACUUUUCACAAUUCAACAAAGUUGGCUACCAAACCAAAGAAAUUCAACAAGGUUGGCUACCAACCAAACCAAGUCAACAAGGUUGGCUACCAAACCAAAGAAAACUCUUAUUAGGCACAUGCCUAAUACUUCUUUAAUGAGAUGG